rnacentral:rRNA from 1 species
UACGGAGGGUGCAAGCGUUAUCCGGAUUUACUGGGUUUAAAGGGUGCGUAGGUGGGUCUUUAAGUCAGUGGUGAAAUCUCCAAGCUCAACUUGGAAACUGCCAUUGAUACUAUUGACCUUGAAUUCUGCGGAGGUUAGCGGAAUAAAUCAUGUAGCGGUGAAAUGCUUAGAUAUGAUUUAGAACACCGAUUGCGAAGGCA